GACAGUCUUUGUCUAACAACAGUACAGAAGUGUUUGCAGUAUAGUAGGUAGAAAUCUGUAAACACAGCUGAGAUAGCUGGAAGAGAUUUCACAUUGUGCUUCUGUAUCUGUAGAAUAAAUCUGGCAUUAGGAGUUUGGCAUACCUUGUGCUAUUUUACAUCUGUAUCUCUAAGAUUAGAAACCUCACAAUUAUGGAAUGAUUGCUUUUCUGCUAGGGAGAGAGUGGAAGACUGUUCAGAAAUUACCAAGAAGGUUGAAGGAAGGCAAGGGAAGAGGGAGAGGAUUUCAUGGGAUCACAAGAUAACUCAAGCUGGAAAGGACCUUAGGAAAUCUGUCUCUGUUUCACCUUCUGUUCAAAGCAGAACAGCUUUGGAAUCAGACCAAGUUGUUCAGGACUUGAUCCUGUCAUGUCUUAAAAACCUCUAAGGUGGAAAUGGCACAACCUCUGUGUUGAGUCCUCAUUGGGAAAAAGCUUAUAUCUGGAAUCCCCAUGUCCUGUACCUUCAACGUGAGAACUAUGUAAUCACCCAUGAAUACUGGAGGACUCCCCUGGCAGAGUCACUGCUGCCCACAGGGAUGUGCAGCACAGACAUGACUUUACAGUCUUUCUGCAGUAAUCUGGACUCUGCUUACAAGUAACCAGCAAACCUCCCCAGACAUGAAAUUAGUCAGUUUAUGGGCAUCCAUUCCCUGCAGCAGUGAAUCUCCAAUACCUACCAACCUGCUUAUCUUCUUUCUGUCCAGAUUAGGGCAGGUUCAUCAUUGCUUAUAGAUCUACAGGCUAACCAGCUAAAUGGCAGUGGUAUCUACUCUCUAGUCCGAAGGACAGCGAGUACUCCAAAGCCCAAAAGGACAAAAGUUUUUGCUAU